UGCGAAGGGGGCUAGCGUUGCUCGGAAUCACUGGGCGUAAAGCGCACGUAGGCGGAUCUUUAAGUCAGGGGUGAAAUCCCAAGGCUCAACCUUGGAACUGCCUUUGAUACUGGGGAUCUCGAGUCCGGAAGAGGUGAGUGGAACUGCGAGUGUAGAGGUGAAAUUCGUAGAUAUUCGCAAGAACACCAGUGGCGAAGGCGGCUCACUGGUCCGGUACUGACGCUGAGGUGCGAAAGCGUGGGGAGCAAACAGG
rnacentral:rRNA from 1 species